rnacentral:lncRNA from 1 species
CGUGCUCCAACAGCCCAACACGAUAUGCAUAGCGUACCAAUAAGCACCAUAAUCAUGUAUCAGUAACCCUCAUGUAUGCCCCUCUACUCCCAGAGCCGAGGAUCUCACUCUCCACUGAUCAUCUGCUCUUAUCACCACCCACAGACGAUAAGAGAUUACGAUCUCAGCAUCCAUACCGAAAGGUAGAAGUGGAGCUCGCUUGAGCUGGUUAGUUAGUUCUCGGUUAACUGUCAAGCAGGCAGAACGCAGGAAAGUUCGUGGAGUGCACGUAGACGUGAGAUAGCCUGACCGCUGUAGAACAAAAUUUCCAUUUUUUUAAUUCUGUGGCAAAAAGUGAAGUGGUGAAGUGGAAAGCUAAUUAAGCUUAUUGGGCUCAGAGCAAGCCGCAGAUGUUCACUACCUUUAUGCAUGCUGCUCUGUAGUGUUACAAUGGAGUAGAGGAGGAGGAUACAAUGAGAUCGGCCUUUCUAUCAUGACCAACUUGUGCGCCAGGCCGGGAAGGUGUCCUAGCACGAUCAUGGAUCGGUGUGCUAGCGUUGGAGUAGCUGGCACGUCGCUGGUGAAUUUGCUUCUGU